GUGGAGCUAACAUGAUGCAGCCCAGACUCCCAGGCUAGCAGUGAGUUAGUGGAGCUAACAUGAUGCAGCCCAGACUCCCAGGCUAGCAGUGAGUUAGUGGAGCUAACAUGAUGCAGCCCAAACUCCCAGGCUAGCAGUGAGUUAGUGGAGCAGACAGGGUGCAGCCCAGACUCCCAGGCUAACAGUGAGUUAGUGGAGCAGACAGGGUGCAGCCCAGACUCACAGGCUAACAGUGAGUUAGUGGAGCAGACAGGGUGCAGCCCAGACUCCCAGACUAGCAGUGAGUUAGUGGAGCAGACAGGGUGCAGCCCAGACUCCCAGACUAGCAGUGAGUUAGUGGAGCAGACAGGGUGCAGCCCAGACUAGCAGUGAGUUAGUGGAGCUAACAUGAUGCAGCCCAGACUCCCAGUACAGGCUAGCAGUGAGUUAGUGGAGCAGACAGGGUGCAGCCCAGACUCCCAGUACAGGCUAACAGUGAGUUAGUGGAGCAGACAGGGUGCAGGCCAUAAGAGGUCGGCUAUGCUGAUAUACAGGCUUGAUCUUUGAGACACUUUUGGCAGAAGUACCGAAAGUAACAAAUUUUAGUACCGAACCGUUUUUCAUGUUCUAGUGUGGAAAUAUAGAAGUUUGGGUAUAACGUGAGUUAUAGCUAGUUAUAUAGUUAUAAGGUAUACCGUGAGUUAUAGCUAGUUAUAUAGUUAUAAGGUAUACCGUGAGUUAUAGCUAGUUAUAUAGUUAUAAGGUAUACCGUGAGUUAUAGCUAGUUAUAUAGUUAUAAGGUAUACCGUGAGUUAUAGCUAGUUAUAUAGUUAUAAGGUAUACCGUGAGUUAUAGCUAGUUAUAUAGUUAUAAGGUAUACCGUGAGUUAUAGAUAGUUAUUAUAUAAUAUAUAUUAUAUCCGAUAUUAGUGAAGAUUGAUAGUGAUGUAAUAUCCUGUUAGUGAAAUCACAUCCUGUUUGUGUGUGUGCAGCGUCUGCGACGUCUGGCGGCCAGGAGAGAGAGUGUCCUGAAGUCUCUACAAGGACUUCUCACUAGAGGGAAGGGCCUGAGAAGACACAGCCUUAAACCUACACGGACACAGAAAAAUGGAGCUGAAGAGAAGAAGAGUAGAAAGACAGGCGGGCAGAAAAAGGACAGAAAAACAGCGAGUAAGACAGCAGGCGGCAAGGCAGCAGGCGGCAAGGCAACGGACAGGAAGACAACAGAUGAGAAGGUGGAAAGUACGAAAACGGAAGUAAAAAAAUUGGAAGGCAAAAAAACUGAAUGUAAGAAACCAGAACAAAAGAUAGAGAAGAAAGUGGAGAGCAAGAAAUCAGCGGAGGCUAAGAAGUCCGACUCGACCCGGGCGGAGGCUAAGAAGUCCGACUCGACCCGGGCGGAGGCUAAGAAGUCCGACUCGACCCGGGCGGAGGCUAAGAAGUCCGACUCGACCCGGGCGGAGGCUAAGAAGUCCGACUCGACCCG
ensembl:lncRNA